GCGAACCAUGUGCGUGGAGGCGGGGGAAGAAAGCGGGUGCGAGCGUUAAUCGGAUGUACUGGGCGUAAAGCGUGAGUAGGCGGCUGUUUAAGGCGGAGGUGAAAUCCCCGAGCGUAACUGGGGAAUUGCAUGCGAGACUGGGAAGCUAGAGUAUGGGAGAGGAUGGUAGAAUUCCAGGUGUAGCGGUGAAAUGCGUAGAGAUCUGGAGGAAUACCGAUGGCGAAGGCAGCCAUCUGGCCUAAUACUGACGCUGAGGUACGAAAGCAUGGGGAGCAAACAGGAUUAGAUACCCUAGUAGUC
rnacentral:rRNA from 1 species